UGUGCAGGCGGGGUCUCAAGUGGUGUAUGAAAUCGCUCGGCUCAACCGGGCGCGGUUAUGCCAGACUGAGGCUCUGGAGUGCGGGAGAGGGGCGUGGAAUUCCGGGUGUAGUGGUGAAAUGCGUAGAGAUCCGGAGGAACCCCAGAGGCGAAGGCGGCGCCCUGGCCCGACACUGACGCUCAGACACGACAGCAGUGGGGAGCGAACG
rnacentral:rRNA from 1 species